GCUGGAUCACCCUGUGAACCCACUGUGCUCUAUUCCGGUGUCACAGAAUGCCCCCAUCCUGGAAGCCAGCUGGCCCUCCACCCGCCGGCCUCCUCUGUGCGACCUCCCACGCUGCCUGGUUUUCCAGGGUCCACGCUUGCUCACCCCAAGGGAAAUCCCACUCAAGUUCUUCCUUGAGCUCUAAAAAUAUCCCGUCUUCCGGCCCAGGGUGGAGCCCAGUGAAGGACGAAGCCCCUUCAGGGGGGUGUCCAGAUCUUCCCAGGUGUCCCCCAGGAGAGUGGGCCUUUCGGAACUCAAGGUCACAAGAUCAAAUGGUGGAAGUAGGACUAAAAUCUCAUUUUAAUAAAGGGGAAAAGCAGAGGGCCUUCCCCUCCAGGAGGGUCAAAGAGUAACUCAUGCAAGAUCAGCUUCCCACACGUCCUCUCCUGACUCUUGAUCAUGGAGGACACAGGAUGGAAUGCAGCGGAUGACGGGGGUUCCACAUGGGAAAUAGGGCCCUUAGACCCAUGUUUAUAGAGGCCACUGGCUGGAUCCAUGCCUCACAGGGCCACACUCUGCCCCUCGGCUUUCCCUGUCAUGUCCCCACCCACAGGGCCAGGAGUGAGUGGACCAAGGAGACAUGUCACCCGGAGCCUGGGACGCUCUGCAUGGCCAGACCUUGGAGUCCUGAUCUACCGCUGCUCCAGGGCCUGCAGACUUCUGCGCAGGGACAAGCUGUACCGCCAGUGCACGCUCUCCUGGGUCUCAUGGGUGGAUGGGGGAGCAAGAGAGAGCUGGGGGAGUGCUGAGGGAGGGGACGGGCAGCCAGCCUGAGGGUACCCACCGCAUUCUGGUACAGAACACCAGAAAUGGGGAGAAUCCUAAAUUUGAUCCUGGUCUUAGGAAGAUGUAUUGGUCAAGGUCAGAGCAGAGACCAUGUGUGAGUUAGUAAGAUGCUUGUUUGAUUAGGACUUUGGGCAUCAAGCAUGUGCCACGGAGGUCCCGGUCUGUACCCUUGCCCCACCAGGCCCUGCUAACUUUGGGUUGGGUACCAACUGGAGCCAAAUUCCUGUCAUGCCAACCCAAGGUUGGGCCACCAUCCCGAGGGAUGGAGCCGAGAGACUGAAACUUGAAAAAGAAAAGAAAGAAAAGGUGGUCACCCACCCUGGAGGGUGGCGAUACACGAGUCUUAAUUUGUUUAGAAAGAUGAUAUGGUGCUAAGCAUCAAGAGAAAUUACGUCCCUUUCCUAAAUAACACCCUUGUUUAUGUGUGACUUAGUAUUCCUGAUAAUUCCCUUAGGAUAAGUUCCUGGAAAUGAAAUGAACAGAAAAAGAGGAAGGCCCACGGCUUUCUGUAUGUGCUGUAUUGUAUUUGGGAGUUGUUGUAUUUUUCAAGUCCACGGAUUCCUCUAUUUAUCUCUGACAAAAUUCUAGUAGAGAAAAGAGGAAAAGCAAAAUUAGCCAAGCUGAUUGAUCAUUAAGUAUAAUCGACCAUGAAGUGUAAAUUUCCAUUUUUAAUCUACUCCAUCCCAGAAGACUUCAAUUGCUUUAUUGAUAAGCCCAGGAGAUAGUUAAUCAUUAAGUAUUUAAACAAACAGUAAUAAACUUGCACAUGAGAAAGUGACACACACACUUUAUCAGUUAGGGAGACUGUCAAGAAACUCUCUAAAAGGCCAGAAACAGAGAGGUGUUAGAAUAACACGCCCAAUCCCUGCAAAACCCGCCUCCCAGCUCUUCCCAGCCCUAAGGAAACUUUCACAGACUCCGGGGCCUGCCCCAGCAGCCCGUCCUUGGGACGCGAUCGUCUUUACUGAAUGAGGACAUUUGUUACGGGGUAAUUGGGGGAAAACAAGACUACUUGGGCUUAUAGCGUUUUCAAGCAUUUCUGCACACGUCUGACUUGACCAGUGUGGAACUAACCAGAGAGAAAGUGGAAACUGAGGCCCAGAAAGGUCAAAGGUCUCGCCAGAGAUGCCACAGCAUCAAGAGGCAGGAGGGGCCGGGCGGCUCCCGUGGCUCAGCUCUCGGGAGGCCGCUGUAUUUCUCACGUGACGCAGCUCCAUCUUUGGAAGACACGACGUGUGCCCAGGUACAAGGUGCUGAAGACAGUUGAGACAGUGGUGUAAAACCUGGGGGAAGGUCAGCGGACUGGAGAGGUGGAGUGGCCCGGCGAGGGACAGGAAUGAGGAGGACCCGGGUUUAGGAGAAGGUCGGGGGACGACUCGUCUGGCCCCUGGGCUUGAAAGCGGAUCAGAGACCGACACCACGUUUACAGAGGGCUUUAAGGCAACCCAAAUCAUUCUGCUCUUCCUUCCUCCCUGUCUGCUUCUAGGCCUAGGAACCUGCAAAACCUGCCUCUGACUCUUGCUCACAGCCACACCACGGCGCCGUUCACCACCCACUCAGGAGGCGGCUGCCCGUGCCCACGCCCUCCACACCUGCAGACACGGUGACCGUCCCAUUUCAGAGGCGGUGGUCCGUCUCCUGCUGGACAGCUUCCUCUGCUCAGUCUUCAUACCUGGCUCUCAGAGGACCGAGGAGGCAAGAAGCACUGCUCCUGAUCUCAGCUGAGUUGAUGCUCAAGAGGAAUGAACACUCUCCAACAUUUCACACCCCAGGGCUGGGCACAGCGAUGCCUGGGAGGCUGCGGCAGGAGGAUCACAAGUUUGAGGCCCACCUGGGCAACUUAGCGAGACUGUCUCAAAAACUCAAAAUGGAGAGUACUGGGAAUGUAGCUCAGUGCUGAAGCACCCUGGGCUAAACCCCUAUCAUCUUACCAAAGGACUGCAUGGGUUAUGAGACAACUGGAGAGCACAAGACCAUUCGGAUCUGCAGCGUUUUCAAGCAUUUCUGCACCCAUCUCAUUCGACCCAUGAGAAACAAACCAGUAAGAAUGUGGAGACUGAGGCCCAGCGAGGUCAAAGGUCUCUCCUGAGAUGCUGCAGCAUCAAGAGGCAGGACUGGGAUUGUGCCCAGCUCCCUCAAAAUCCCAAAAGAAUCUCAGGCCCCAAAUACCACCGAGAAAGGCACCGUGACAGAGGUGCUUGGCUUCAUUGGCCUUCGCUGGACUCUUAUGGUCAACGGAUCCUUUAGUCGAAUUUGCAGGGGGGCUGAAGUCCCCUCUCUGGACCUGCUUUGCCAAUGAGGUCGCAGCUGGUCUUCCUUCACCACUUUCGGUUUUCCCGCUGCUCCCACCUGAGCUGUCUCACGCCUCUCACUGCCCUGGACUCAGCCCACCUGGGAGCCCAACAGCCAGCGCUGCUCCCGAUGGUCCACUGCAGACGGCUCAGGGCCCACAUGGCCAGCCGGGCUCUUUCCUCGCUCCUUGGAGGAUUUUCCCUCGCAGGAGCCGCCUUCCCCGUCUGGGGCUGCCGAGGACCACCAGGACCACCUCACACAGACCAGCUCUCCCGGGAGCUAAAGGUCUGAAAGAAGCUCUGAGGAUGAGCAGUGUGGGGCAGGGGAGGUACUGAACAACUUUAACACCAGGUUCACCUUUUAAUUCUUGCACCAGGAACCCGACUAUUUUAACAGACCAACCUUCAAUGUUCCUGAGUCCUGGUCUCAGAAGUGAUUCCUUGGGUUAGCAAUGGUGGGCCUUGGGAGAAGGUCAGUUUACAGGAGGAGGCAUCAAGAUUUCAGGCAGAAAGUGUGCGAGGUGGGCUGAAUCAGAGCCGUCUUCCACCCUGGCUUGGCCACCGACUAGCCGUGUGGCUCUGAGAGGUUUGUUUAUUCUCCCUGGGCCUCAGUUUUUCAAUUUUAAAAAUGUAGGGAACAGCAACUCCUGGAAAUGUCAUGAGUGCUAGCUAUGCACAUCCAACACGUAGAACACUCAGUGAGUAGGUGCUCAAUAAAAACCAGUUUGGACCCAAUGCAUCCGAAAUGACCUACAGUGCGCUUCACACAGAGCCUGGUGUGAGGUGCAAACAGGCACCGUCCGAUAUUGAAACUGCAAAGGCCAGAGAUGCUCGUGGGUUUCCCUAAACGAAUCUGGUCAUGCCAAUAAAAGUAAAUAUGCAUGAAAGAGAUCAUUUGUCUGGAUAUUAUGAAACCUAGUUCUAGUUCCCAUUCUGGUCAUUUAAAAGACCAGAGGGAGGGGUGCCUUAUAGGACAUCUCUAAACCUGGUGCAGCAAGGGGGCUCUGUGUCAGUCAUUCUCGUGUUUUCUGGCUAACGAGGCCCGGCUGGAUGGAAUCUUUUGCGGGUUUGCAAAGUUGAGGCUGCUGGCACAGCGACAUUGCACCACAUUUGCAGAUCUUGGGCAAGUUCACAAUGAUGCAUUGUCUUCCCUCCUCCGGGGCACGAAGGGUUGUCUGGAAAAGGCCUGCUGCUGCCAUUAGGAGCCUGGGCCGCCAAGUCUACAGGGCGACGUGAAACAGAAAUAAACCACAGGCUCUCAACACGUUUGCAAGUGAUUUACAAAUGUGUUUACUUUAAAAAUAAGCAUAACACACAGUCUUGUAUAAUAUUAUGUCUAGAGAAGUUUUGUGACUGUAACGUGCCCACAGCAGAUGCAAGUCAUGCCUUCUCUUCUAUCUGGUAGGGACUCUCAGCUUUAUCCCAGUGCAUUUUGGUAAACUAAACACAUCUUGAUUUCCUGAUAUUUUGCUUAUAUCUCACUUUUAUUGAGUACUUUUUUCUUGCAUACUUGAAACCGUGUUUGAGUAAGAGGAACAGCAUGACACUGAGAAUUGCUAAAACAAAGCACCUUUCAAGCUUCCCAACGAGGUGGAUGGAGGAGGGAGGCUGAAACUGGGGGGAUGGCCAUCCUGCAUUCUUUGGUACUUCACAGGCUGUGAAAGGUAGAGGACGUGAGUUUGCAAUUGUGAAUCAAAGGAUCACAGAGCGAAUGGAAUCAUCUGGUCUGACUCCAGGUCUCAUGCAACCAAAUGCCUCAAUCUCUGAGACACAUCAUAAAGAGCAUUUCUCAACAUGAAGCUCUUGAAACACAGAGGCCUGGGUAGCCUGGCUCGAAGGUUGGGAAAGGUUUUUCUAUGUCCAAGUGAAACUUCUCUUGCCUCCUUAAUAUAUGCGGAAAGUAGCCAGCCAGUGCUCUUGUGGUUGACAACAGGCUGAGUGGGCCAACCCUGGUUCCUACUCACUUUCCCAGGUGGCUUUGCCUCUGGGAGGAAAGGUGUGAAACGUGUGGGUCAGUGGGCAAAUACCUACUGGGUUAGCGUGAAGCAGGGCUCUGAGAUAGCUUUGAUUUUCUCCAUAAAAGAUGACAAAUUGUCCAGCAAUGCUACUUUUCUUGUCUUGGAUGCAAAUGUAAUGCCUGGAGUUGCACUACCAUCUUGGGGUCAUGAGGGAAAGACCUAAGGAAUCAGCCGAUCCACCCCCAAACAAACUGUUGACUCACAGUGCCGUCACCUGCGUCUGCCAGUCCCUGAGACUCACAGAAGAGCAAGACAAACACUGAGAGGGACAAAGACACUACCUCCCGGCCAUCAGCCACGUAGAAAAUGCCACCUGCAGUUUUCCGUCACUCCAGAAUUUUAAACCAACAUCCGGAUGCAAAGAAGGGGACCCGGACAGCUGUGCGUCUUCUCUCCACCCGGCGCACCUACCAGGCAGAAAGAGAGACUGUGAUUCUGUUGUAGAGCCGAGGCUGUGGGUCCAAUUUUAUUUGAUCCCCAAACAACCAAGCUGAUUCACUGCCAGAUCUGGCCUUUCCUUCCAGUAUACCUCAAUCUCUCCUAAUUGGCCGUGAAAUUCCUGGGAGUUGGCGGUUUCGGGCAUGGAGAAGCAGCGCUGGGGAUGGAACCCGGAGUCUUGUGGGCGCUAGGCAAGCUCUCCACCAGCUACAUCCCAGCCCCAGAGUCUCUGCUGUUACCCACCAGGCGGCACUGGAGCAGAAUGGGGGAGACAUUCAGAGCAGGAGAAGGUAGCCUGCAGCCUCUGGUAGCAAGGGCUGGCUCACAACUCCACCUUCCACUUACAGGUGAAUGGCCUGGCGCUGUUUCCUCCCCCAACUGUGGAACCUGGGGAAACUCUUUCCUCAUCUGUAGAGCUUAUCAGAUGGGCUCGACAUCAGGCAUAAGUGCCACUGGGGAGUCAGAGACAGGCUGAACAUCCGUCACCGGGAACAGGGUGUGGGGACUGUCACAGAGUAUCUCCAUGCAGCAUGGUGGAUGACAAACAGUAGCACAGGCAAACCCUGAGACUCAGGGAUCAGUGAAAAGGAGAUGCAGUGCAUGUUACCAAUUAAAGAAUUAUAAAGAGAUGCAUUCCAAAUAAUAACCAUUACACACAGAAUGAAACAGAUCCAUAUUAAAUACAUCAGAAUGGUAAUCUGUGAGGUGGGACGUGAGAAUAGCACAGGAAUGUGAAGGUGAGGAUUUGAACACUAAUGAGCAUCCAUCAGAUUGACCCAAACCAAAGUGUCUGACAAUCCCAAAUUUGAGUGAAAACGAGAAGGAAAGGGGGCUCUCAGCCCCUAUUGAGAGGAGAGUGAUUCGGUCUAAGCCUGGUGCCGCCCCUGGUUGUUUCCAAUACGCACUUCCUCUUCUACAACACCCGUCGUGAUUCUCGAGGAUAACUUCAUGUUCCCGUCCCCUUUAUAGCCAGGUGUGGCCAUGUGAACAAGGCCCAGACAAUAUCAUAUGACUGGAAGUGUCCUUUGAAGUUUCCAGGGCAUUUCCUUAAAUGAGGGAAUCUCAGUAAGUGAUUGGGAGCAAAGGUGGAUGUCAGAGAGCGAUGGACAUGGUCCAGCACACCCAAGAUCUUCCCCCGCAGCUGGCCCAGCCCAGACCCGGGAGUGAGGACUCUUGAAUGCUCUUGCUGUCCUUGGAGGAAGAGAAGAACAGCCCUGGAACACACAACGUGAUCCUGCCAUAUGUAACUUGGCCUUUGCAGUGCUACCCUGCGAGAGGAGAGGGCUGUCCGGAGGGGCCCACCAUCAACAGAGGCUAAGUGGAGAGGUCUGGGGAAGAAAACGUGUAGUUACUUUCUAAACCUCUGCUUCAGCCUGGAGACGUGUUGACCAGCAUAGUGCCCCCUGUCCCACCGUUCCCCUUUCAACAGAUGCACAAAUAUCUGGGUUUGUUCCCGACGCCUAGGCACUGCCUUAAAGAAAGAUGAUGAACUCAAUUUGUUAGCUCUUUCCUAAAAAAGAAGACACUAUGGUUCUUAGUCAGUUGACUUGUCUCCAUAACAGUGUGUCUACCACUGAACACCACAGUCCACAUCUGUUCCUAAUGAAAAUCUAUAAUCGGCAAUGCCCACUGCCUUUCAAAACUUAUUUUCUUCAUCCCCAAACUAUGCACAGACCUGGCCAAAGCUUGUUUCUGUUGUCACCAGGACAUAAUGGCAUUGCAUUUAUUCCAGGAUGAAUAAAUCAACAGCGAUUCCAACUAGAAUCUGUGUCAGCCACUUAGGCUAUUGCAAAUUUGAGCCUCAACUACAAAUGGACAUUUUCAUUUAUUAAAAUGCUGAAGCAGGCAGGUUUGGUUUGGUUCGGUUUUUAAGUUCAUAACAUCCAACCCUUUAUGAAACUUUGUUUCAGGUCACAAGGCUAAAAGACGUUUGAUAAUAAAAACAGCUCGCGUUUUCAGUAAAAACAGAUUCUCGAGGGAGCAGCCUCAGGACACAUUUUUCACAAGAAACAUUGAUUUGUAAAACUUGUGGGCUUUGAACAGAGUAUCAGAUUAGGCCACCUCUAGAACAGAAGGCCAACUGGCACCGGCGCCAGCUGGCCAGCUCCGGUCCCCGCAGGAUGACUUUGUAAGAAAGGUCUGAGGCCCACUCUCGGCCAGCUACUGCUGCGUGAAAACAAGCCAACUCAGAGCAGCCUUUCCCAAAGUACAGUCUGCAAUCCUGGUGAAAGUGUAGCAGCCCUUAUCCUGGGAGUGGCAAACCCUACAUCUUUUCCUUUUCUUCCUCUGAGAACAGUGGAUCCUCAGUGUGUUUUCUGCAGGGAGCCAUUUUCAAAGGGAAGGACAUGUUAGAAUCUUUGGCAAAUUUCUGUUUGUCUCAGAGCUAGAGGAGGCAGGGUAAGUGUGUCAAGCAAAAGAACACGAGACUCAGCCACACUGGUGCACGUGACAUGGGCAAAGGGAGGCCCAGGAGCGGUGGGGUGCCUCCUGGCCUUGGAAGCAGCUACGCGUGGCCUCCUGCUCAGGAGCAAUGAACUGCUGUUUUCUAGGAAUCCGAGGUGGCCACAAAACAGGGGUCACUUGAGACAACAUCAGGUUCUACUCCCAGGCUGAUGUUCUAACCAGCGUCUUGGAGCUCUGGCAGAUCAGCAACAGAACAGUCUGGGGGUGUGAAGGCACAUCUUAAAGGAUGUAUCUUAUUUAGCUAAAAUCUAUAUUAUUACAACAGGGAUUUGAAAGUCAUAAUCUGAGAUCUUAAGAACAAAGUGGAGGCUGGGGAUGUAGCUCAAGGGUCAAGCACCUUCGCAGCAUGUGUAAGGCCUCGGCUUCCAUCCCCAGCCCCUAAAAAUAAACAAAACUGAAGUGUAAAAUGAGAGAAUGCUUUCAGGGUGGUCUUUCUCUUUCUUUAUUUCUCUCUCUCUCUCUCUCUCUCUCUCUCUCUCUCUCUCCCCCCCCGCCGCCCCCCAAGGAAAUUUUUCUUUUUGAUGAAAAGAAAACUGAUUUUCAAGGAGGCAGGCGGCCUUCAGGCCAGUAGGGCCAUGUUGGGUUUUGCUCCAUCAGUGAGCUUAUGUGUAGAGAAAGAAAGGAGUGGGUUUGUGUACAGAGAUCUGCAGGAGAUUCUCCCAGAGAAGCCUGAGAGAAGUGAGGGAGUAUUCCAAGGCCAGCUCCUCCUCUCCAGGGAGUAGGUAAGGGACCCUCUAAGUCACUGCGGUGAACAGCAGGGUGUCCUAUGAGGUCGGAGACCAGAAACUCCUGGCACCUGGCUGACGUCUCCAGACACUCAGUCUUAGCAUCCGUUUGCUCAGGGCCUUCUGCGCUGGGCACAGGAGUCCAGGGCUGUUACUUUGCAUGAGCAACUGAAAGGAGCAGAGGAACCAGGGAGCACAGACAGAAAGCACGUCCUCCGCUCCUCACAGGCCUGAGCCGUCGCCUGCAAACUGUCAUCAGAAAACAUAGAUCCAGGUCCAGAAGCAGCUGCCGUCACUCAAGACUGAGAGCCCUGAACAGAAAAGAGCCGGCUGCCCGCCACCCUGCCUCCUCCAGAGCCCCGAGGAGCCUGGCACAGCUCACAGGAGGCCCCUGUGUCCAGGGGCUGGGCACAGCAGGGACCUUCCUCCAAAGGGCAGGGUUACAGCUCCAUGGUAGAGCCCCCCAGGUUCAGUAGCCAAUAACAAGUAAACAAGGCAUGAGCCCCACAAGGGCAGGGGUCCAUGCCUUUGUUCACUCUGUGCCCCUUCCCUGGGCGCUGGCAGGGCCUGGGCAAUGCUGCCAUGGAAGAAUGUGAUAGAGUCAGUUGAGGCAGAGAGGCAGAGAGGCCCUGCCGCUGUGCCGAGGGCCGUUCUCACCCACAGGUCACUGAAUACCACCUCAUCUGUGCCCCCAGCCGCAGGCUUGAGAUGCCUGGUUCCCUCGCGCAGAGAACCAAGGCACUCAGGAUGCGCUUCCAGCAGGUGAACAGCCAGACACGGGAGACUCCAGGCUUCCAGACGUCCAGCCAGAGCCGGGCAGCACCUCUGACCCUCUGCAGAGGUGCCCUGGGCUGAGGACAGAGGAAUGGGGGUCUGAAAUACAGAGGGCCGUCCGGCUGACCCAGGCAAUCACCACCCAGUGGGAAGGAGAAAAGCAAAACCAUUUGGGAACCUCCAGUGGCUGAUACAAAGGCAAAGGAAUUGGACUGUGAGGCUCUAACCAGCGUCUGCAAGCAGACAGGAUGGAGCUCGUCUCAACCGAAGGCGGAGCUGAAGGUUAAAAGAAUGAAGAAUGCGGCGACCACCAUCCUUAAAAUUCAUCGUUAUCCGUUAAGAACCCGGGUCUACAAGAAUCGUGGAGAUCAAGAGGGCCUGCGUGGUGAGGGUGAGAGGAUGCCGGGGAAGACGAGAUCCACAUGUUGAUUAUUUUCUGAUAAAAGUGUUUGCUGUAUCUGAAAGUGGAGGGAAUUAAAUAUAAACAGAUUUGUUUAAACCCAGUUCCCCUAUUAUUCUAUAGGUUACCUUAACCCUCUUCUGACAUUGAUUUUUCAACAAGGGUGAUUAUUUUUUUCAGACAUAGAAAACAGCUAAACUGAAGUUAUUCAUACCUAUGGGAUUAUUCUAUAGUUAAUUUUACUAUUCAAAACUUGUGAAAAUUACAUGCUACAGAACAUAGUCAUGGGUUUCACCAGCAGGGCGGGUCUUUCCAGCAAAAUCACUAUCUGUCAGCCAAAAAAAAAUCAAAAUAGAAAAUAGCAAUAACAAGCAUAAUUGAUUGUGCACCUAUAUGUGAUAGGACUUUAUGUGUAGUUUAUCUCUAAUCCUUCUCAACAACCCUGAAAAGUAGUGCUAAUAAUAAUUCUUAUGUUACAGAAGUCAUCCCGGGUUUAAUAGAGCCUUGUCCAAGGUUUAACAAGUGUAGAGGGGGACCGUGGAGCUCAGUGGCAGAGCAAAUGCUUAGCAUGCUCGAGGACCUGGGUUCCAUCUCCAGCAACCCCCGUCCCCAACAAAAGGUAGAACCAAGACUCGAAUGUGCAUCUCACUCCUGCCCCUGAGGACUUUGCACUGUUGUGCUCUCUCAAUACCAUAGAUAGUAGGUAGCCACCAACAGGAAGUGCAAGGACCCCAGGUUUCAUAGAUCAGAUCCCAAAUCCACCGUGCAGGUCCAUGAAUUACUUCAAGUGCAUCUGCGUGCAUUCUUCUAAUCAACUUCUAAUCAGCCUCCUUAACUGCAUUCAUAUUCAAUGGGCGUCCCUACCCAGUAAUGGAAAUAGAACUGGUCUUGUUUGCCUUGUGCGGAUGGAGCACCUGCUGUGGUUCGGCACCAGGGACAGGACAGUGUGCAGGUCUCAGUCUGUCACCAGUGCUGUGGCACGGCGGCUGUAAGCUCUGCAGCAAGUUUUCAAAUGCAUUGAUUUUUAAGCUCAAUACCUCUGCCGCUGCGUCUCAUUAGUUGCUUCAGCCGACCUCCGCUCCACCCACAGGACGCCUAACCGAUGGUGCAGCAAAGCUUUGCCGGCUGCAUUUUUGUUUUUUAUUUGUGUUAUCAGAAGUGAGAAGUCUUGCAUUGGAGGCCAGCUCUGCAUUGGAAUCAUGGGCUUCUCUGCGCAUCAAAGUGGGGAUGGGGACCUCUGUCUCCAGAGUUAUGGCUCAGACCUUCAGCGUGACCCCCAAACAUUCACCGUCUCCUGUCCAGCCCCACCCACGAAAAUUCUCUUUACCAUCUGGACCCCAUCUUUGUUCCCCAGUGCUGGGGAUGGAAGCCAGGGCCUCGCACGUGCUAGGCAAGUGCUCCACCACUGAGCCACGGUCUACCCUGGACCCUGUCGCGGUCAUCUGUUUCCUUCACAGUCCUCAGAGCAGCGGUGGCGUAGAGGGGCCCUCAGCGAACCCUGAAGGAGGAGAGAGCCAUGUCAUUAGCACAGGAAAGGGCCUGGGGGUGACAGUCCUCCAGGUGGACAAGACUUCAUUCUGUAAUUAUCCCAGCUGUCAAAAGUCAUUCCCAGAAAGCGGUUCCCGGGAGGGCCACGACAUUGCUGUAGGACUCAGUGAGGAUGUGAUUCUGAGGGAAGAUGAGUAGUGACCGCCAAGUGCUUUCCUUGUGCGCUGCUCUUCCGAAAGAGGCUCUGGGUACACAGGUACCUGAGCAUCUAGUUAAGACCCAAACACACAGUGUUUAGUUGUCCCCCAUCGGCCCAGUUAUAAAAUGUGGGUACACUAUACUCUACUCAUUAAUAUCAUCUGGGUCCUAGAAACACAUAAACCCACAAGAUGUCAUGGUCUGGAUCCGGGGUGUCCCCAAAGCUCCUGCGUUAAUCCAGGGACGUUGAGAGCUGUGACGCCCACCAGUGCAUCCUGGUGGUAACCGUGGGCAGGUGGGGCGUGGGUGGAGGAGGUGGGUCACAGAGGAUGUGUCCCCAGAAGGGACCGUCUUCCCUCUGGCCUUCCUCCUUUCCCCCUGGCCGGCACGAGUGGAGAAGCUUUCCUACUCCACACCUCCACCAUGAUGCCCACCUGGCGUCCAGAGCAACCCACCCCUUCGACCAUGGACGAAACCUCUGAAACCAAGAGCCAAAAUACACGUUUCCUCCUCUAAGUUGCUCCUGUCUGGUCUUUGGGGCACAGUGACAAAAAGCCGACUAAGCCAAAGAAACCACUUUUUAAAUGGAAGUCUUGAUAUUUUGUCUUUGAGAUCUAAGAAAUGGGCUUUCCUGAGCAAAGCUUCCGUCUCGGCUGAGCAAUGGUACUUUCUGGUAGACAAAGGAAAUGCUGUGUUUCUUUCCCGGGCCGGCUUCCUGACGUCCACUGCUUGUCCUCUGCCUUUGGGUUCUCGCCGGAGACCACCAACAUUCUCAGACACAGUGAAGUAAAGCAGGAGAAUUUCAGACCGUCCCAGCCAGAUCCCAGGUUUGCUGUGGAUCGUAAGCAUGACAGCGUGAAGCUCGACAGAUUCUUCUGGAAUUCUCUGUUUGUUUUCCUUGUGAUCUGACUCACAUAAAAUCUAUUUUAUUUCUUCUUCCAAACUCCUAGGGAGUGUGGUCAUAUGAUUCUAGCAGAGGAAAACAUUGUCAAAAUAGGAUGGAGAAGUUAUCACUCUUACAUUGUUUUCAUUAAAUAAAGAGCUUCCAUGUGCAGAUCUAA